rnacentral:rRNA from 1 species
AACGCGCCNAACCUAACCAACACUUGACAUGUUCGUCGCGACUCUAAGAGAUUAGAGUUUUCGGUUCGGCCGGACGAAACACAGGUGCUGCAUGGCUGUCGUCAGCUCGUGUCGUGAGAUGUUGGGUUAAGUCCCGCAACGAGCGCAACCCUCACUUUUAGUUGCCAUCAUUAAGUUGGGCACUCUGAAAGAACUGCCAGUGAUAAGCUGGAGGAAGGUGGGGAUGACGUCAAGUCCUCAUGGCCCUUACGUGUUGGGCUACACACGUGCUACAAUGGCAUCUACAACAGGAAGCAAAACGGCAACGUUAAGCAAAUCCCGAAAAGAUGCCUCAGUUCGGAUUGCACUCUGCAACUCGAGUGCAUGAAGCUGGAAUUACUAGUAAUCGUGGAUCAGCGUGCCACGGUGAAUGCGUUCCCGGGUCUUGUACACACCGCCCGU